GGGAGGAGCUGACCCCAGGGCAGAGUUGGGGAGAACGGGAAAUCCAGGACAAAGGACGUAAGCGUUGCUACUUAGAACAAGAACACGGGCAGAGGAAAGCAUCAGACAGUCCAUGGUCAGACAAAUUCUGCUCUGCUACGUAUGGGCUGUGUGACCUUUUGCAAGUUACACAACUUCUCUGAGCCUUGCUUUCUUCACCUACGUUAGGAGGCCUGGACCAGCACCGGAUGGCUUGGCUCCGGCCCUGCAGCCCAGCCCUAAGGCAGCUGGGCCCCUUGUACCCGGGUCGGGGAGAUGAAAGGGCUGCUCCCCCCACAGUUACCCUACUGUGGAGCUCGCCAGGCCCCAGCAUUGCCAAGACAACCGCUGCCAGCAGAACGAAGAUCCGGGUGGGGGCAGGGGGCGUGCCAGCCCGCCCCUGGCCUACUAACCUGGCAGGCAGAUUUAAAUGACAGCCCAGGAAGCUACUAUUAAACUGUCACCCCAGUCAAUGGGACGACA